rnacentral:rRNA from 1 species
UUCUUAUCACUUAUUAUAAGUAAAAUCUGCUCCAUGUCUAACAAAUAGCCGCAGAAUUUUGACUGUGCUAAGGUAGCAUAAUCAUUUACCUUUUAAUUAAAGGUCUGUAUGAACGAUUUAACAUUUAAAUUACUUUUUUGUAAAUUUUUAUUAAACUUAAAUUAAAAAUAAAAAUGUUUUUAUAAAAAAAAAAGACGAUAAGACCCUAUUGAACUUUACUAAUGUUUAGCUGGGGAAGCUGACUAAAUAUAAUUUUAAUCAACAGUAAUAAAUAGACUUCUAAUAAAAUUAUCUUUAACAAGUUACCAUAGGGAUAACAGCGUAAUAUAAUUUAAAAGCUCAUAUUUAAAAUUAAGCUUACGACCUCGAUGUUGAAUAAAGAAUCUUCAACCCGCAGUAGUUUUGAAAGAAGGUCUGUUCGACCUUUAAACCUUUACA